GAUAUUGGAACAAAUUGGUAUGCUGUGUUGACAGGAUCCUUGGAUGUUAAAGUUUCUGAUACGAGCAACCAUCAGGAUGCUGUGACAAUAUGCACCUUGGGAAUAGGGACAGCGUUUGGAGAGUCGGUCUUGGAUAACACCCCUCGUCAUGCUACCAUUGUUACAAGAGAAAACAGUGAACUCCUGCGCAUUGAGCAGAAAGAUUUCAAGGCACUUUGGGAGAUUCCAAAAUUAGAACAAAACACAAUUCGUUAUGGGACUUCUGUUGCGAGGAGACAUUGAACUUUUGCAUUCUCUUAGCCUGAAGGCGGUUGUGCCAGUGGAUAACCUGCUUUUCUUUGCUAAUUAUGCCUAAAUUUGACAAUAUUGUACUUUUGAUUCUGUGCUGCGUAAACUCUGUUUGUAUAUUCUGAAGUUUGUUCAGUUGAUAAAAUUUGUCUCAAAAGCUACUGGAGCCUUGCUUUUUACUUAUUCAGAAUGUCAACACAUUAAAAUCAAAAUUGCC